AUUGAACGCUGGCGGCAUGCCUUACACAUGCAAGUCGAACGGCAGCACGGGGGCAACCUUGGUGGCGAGUGGCGAACGGGUGAGUAAUGCAUCGGAACGUGCCCAGUAGUGGGGGAUAACUAGUCGAAAGAUUAGCUAAUACCGCAUACGACCUAUGGGUGAAAGCGGGGGAUUCGCAAGAACCUCGCGCUAUCGGAGCGGCCGAUGUCUGAUUAGCUAGUUGGCGGGUAAAGCCACCAAGGCGACGAUCAGUAGCUGGUCUGAGAGGACGACCAGCCACACUGGGACUGAGACACGGCCCAGACUCCUACGGGAGGCAGCAGUGGGGAAGUUUGGUACAAUGGGCGCAAGCCUGAUCCAG
rnacentral:rRNA from 1 species